GUGUUCCUGUUAGACAGUAUGUGGUCCUAACCAGUGUUCCUGUUAGACAGUAUGUGGUCCUAACCAGUGUUCCUGUUAGACAGUAUGUGGUCACUGUCAGUGUUCCUGUUAGACAGUAUGUGGUCCUAACCAGUGUUCCUGUUAGACAGCAUGUGGUCCUAACCAGUGUUCCUGUUAGACAGUAUGUGGUCCUAACCAGUGUUCCUGUUAGACAGUAUGUGGUCCUAACCAGUGUUCCUGUUAGACAGUAUGUGGUCACUGUCAGUGUUCCUGUUAGACAGUAUGUGGUCCUAACCAGUGUUCCUGUUAGACAGUAUGUGGUCUCUGCAAGUGUCCCUGGCAGAAACCAUAGCUCUGAUGCUGGGACAGAGAGAGGGACAGGAGAGACCUGUAACACCAGCCAAGGCUCAGGACCCUUCACCGCAGGAGUGUUAGUCCUGGGCCCCCCAGCAGAGGCUUGUCCCCCUUGGGCACCCCACAGGCCUUGGAGCAGGGGACCCUACAGCAGUCAUCAAGAGAGCCUCAGCCACCUGAUCCCCACACCUUUACACCUUCAGAGCCGGAGCCAGUAGUGACCCCUGUCACCACUCCAGUCCCCUGCUGGCCCCUGGGGAGAUGCUUCACAGCCCUGGCUGAGGAGCAACCCCACAGCCCUGCAGAGGAUCAACCCCACAGCCCUGGCUAAGGAGCAACCCCACAGCCCUGCAGAGGAGCAACCCCACAGCCCUGCAGAGGAGCAACCCCACAGCCCUGCAGAGGAUCAACCCCACAGCCCUGCG
rnacentral:lncRNA from 13 species